rnacentral:lncRNA from 1 species
ACCGAUAACUAAAGGGUUUGGCUUGAAGAAAUGGAGAAGGAUCAGGAGGGAAUCGCAUAAGGAUGGGGAUAGUAACACAGACAGUGGUAAGUUGUUGAAGCGUGGUUUGUCGAACGCCGCUGCAAAUUCUGCAAAACCUGUGCAUUUGACUGCUGGAGCAAUCCAAAAUAGUGAUGGAUCCGUUUCUUCAACGAAUGCACUAUUGAGGAGCCCUGGUGUUCUAGUUGAUGCCUUUGGUGAUCCUGGGCUGGCUGAUUGGCCUCUAAUUUUUGGUGCCACGGGCUCAGAGAACAGUGAGGAUCAGAGUAGUAGGUCUUCGACUGCAGCCAGCGCUCAAGGAUGGGGAUAGUAAGACAGACAGUGGUAAGUUGUUGAAGCGUGGUUUGUCGAACGCCGCUGCAAAUUCUGCAAAACCUUUGCAUUUUUCUGCUGGAGCAAUCCAAAAUAGUGAUGGAUCCGUUUCUUCAACAAAUGCACUAUUGAGGAGCCCUGGUGUUCUAGUUGAUGCCUUUGGUGAUCCUGGGCUGGCUGAUCGGCCACUAAUAUUUGGUG